CUCACUCGCCUCACACUCUUUCACCUUCCUCUUCAAACCCUAGUGCCGCCGCCGCCUCUAACCACCACCACCUCACCAUCAAAUCCUCCUACCAACAUGAAUCACCACUUUCCAACUUGAUUCCCUUUGUUUUACGCCUUUCUCUGUCAAUACACGCAGAAAAAUGGAGGCAAAUCCUGAAACUCUCUCUCAGUCACUAACACCACCGUAGAGCCGUAAAUCGCCGUCGUUUAACACGCAGUCACCACCACAUCUAACCCUUACGACUCACUUAAUCUCGUAUCUUAGCCUCUCAUUCACAAUCGAACUUCGAACCCAGAUCUUGAUCGUUCCUUGAUCUUGUUGACUCUCUCUGUGUUACUACACGCUCAAAUCAAAGGUUAGAUUUUCUCUUUUUAAUGUUUGUCAUUUUUUGUUAUUGUUGUUAGAUUUAGGGGUGUGACUGUUUUUAUUUUUUGUUUCAUGAAUCACGUCUCUGAUCUGCAUAUGCUUCAGAUCUAAAGGUUAGAUAUUUUGUUUUUAAUCUUUAUAAUUUUUUUUUAUUUAGGGUUUAUGAGUUUCUGACCACGUGCUUUUGUUUUUGUUUCAUGAUUCACAUCCAUGCUCUGCAUAUGCUUCAAAUUUAAAGGUAAGAUCUGUUUUUAUUUUUUUAUUUUUUUUUAUGUUUGUAUUUUUAUAACCUUAGAUUUAGUGUUUCUGACUAUUUACUUUUGUUUUUAUUUCAUGAUUCACAUCUCUGUUCUGCGUAUGCUUCAAAUCUAAAGGUUGGUUUUUGUUACAUUUUUCAUAUUUUGAGCUUUGAUUUUUUCACUUCUUGCUUCUAACAUUUUUUUUUGUUUCAAUCUCAUCUCUGCUGCUUAUGCAUCUGCUGAAGAUUUGAAGGUACAUAUAGUUUUGUCCCAUGUAGAUGGUGCUUCAUUUGAAUUAUUUUGAUAUUGAACAAUACAUUAUAUAAUGCAUAAUGCUGCUACAUCUGAUACUAUAGACUUUUAUUUUCCAUCUGGAUGACUGUACUAAUUUAAAUCUUUACAAUGGUCUGCAAUGUUAUUUAUGCAUCUCCUAUCCUUCUUUAUAUGUAUUGUG
rnacentral:lncRNA from 1 species